rnacentral:rRNA from 1 species
AUUGAACGCUGGCGGCAGGCUUAACACAUGCAAGUCGAGCGGGGGAAGGUAGCUUGCUACUGGACCUAGCGGCGGACGGGUGAGUAAUGCUUAGGAAUCUGCCUAUUAGUGGGGGACAAUAUCUCGAAAGGGAUGCUAAUACCGCAUACGUCCUACGGGAGAAAGCAGGGGAUCUUCGGACCUUGCGCUAAUAGAUGAGCCUAAGUCGGAAUAGAUAGUUGGCGGGAUAGAGGCCUACCAAGGCGACGAUCUGUAGAGGGUCUGAGAGGAUGAUCCGCCACACGGGGACUGAGACACGGCCCAGACUCCUACGGGAGGCAGCAGUGGGGAAUAUUGGACAAUGGGGGGAACCCUGAUCCAGCCAUGCCGCGUGUGUGAAGAAGGCCUUAUGGUUGUAAAGCACUUUAAGCGAGGAGGAGGCUACUUUAGUUAAUACCUAGAGAUAGUGGACGUUACUCGCAGAAUAAGCACCGGCUAACUCUGUGCCAGCCGCCGCGGUAA